UUUGUACUCCCUCUGUCCCAAAAUUCUUGUCUUAGAUUUGUCUAGAUACGGAUGUAUCUAAUACUAAAAUGUGACUUGAUACAUCCGUAUUUAGACAAAUCUAAGACAAGAAUUUUGGGACGGAGGGAGUAUAGG
rnacentral:pre_miRNA from 1 species